AAAUAAUGCUUACAUAUUCCCUGGUUUUGGUUUGGGUCUAAUAAUGUACGGUGCAAUUCGUGUUCAUGACGACAUGCUUUUGGCUGCCUAGCUGAUCAUGGACUGUUCCGUGGUCCAAAAAAUCAGGCCGGGCUGCAUUUUGGCCAGGAAAGUACUGCUGAAAAUUGAUAAAAUCGGCUGAGGCAUUGGCUGCACAAGUUACAAAAGAGCACUUAGCGAAGGGACUUAUCUAUCCGCC